rnacentral:rRNA from 1 species
GAUGAACGCUGGCGGCGUGCCUAACACAUGCAAGUCGAGCGAUUCUCUUCGGAGAAGAGCGGCGGACGGGUGAGUAACGCGUGGGUAACCUGCCCUAUACACAUGGAUAACAUACCGAAAGGUAUGCUAAUACAGGAUAACAUGUUUUGAUCGCAUGGUCGAAAUAUCAAAGCUCCGGCGGUAUAGGAUGGACCCGCGUCUGAUUAGCUAGUUGGUAAGGUAAUGGCUUACCAAGGCGACGAUCAGUAGCCGACCUGAGAGGGUGAUCGGCCACAUUGGAACUGAGACACGGUCCAAACUCCUACGGGAGGCAGCAGUGGGGAAUAUUGCACAAUGGGCGAAAGCCUGAUGCAGCAACGCCGCGUGAGCGAUGAAGGCCUUCGGGUCGUAAAGCUCUGUCCUCAAGGAAGAUAAUGACGGUACUUGAGGAGGAAGCCCCGGCUAACUACGUGCCAGCCGCCGCCGUAACAC